AUGACAGCUCAGUGAGUGAGUGCGGACUUAGACUUUGUGAGAUAAAAUGUGGCGUGUGUACUGUUAAUGUAAAGUAACGUAAUAUUUCCGGCAUUCUAGUGAAGGGUGAGUGCUCCCUGCGUGUGGUGGAGAACAGUAGGCGAGGUGAAGUAAGUAGGAGAAAAGAAAACUAGCCUGCUUUAUCCUCUGGUCUUGGUGGAGAGAGGAUGGAACCCACGAGGAAAAUGCCAUAGCCGCCGCCGCCGCCACGGACAACGCCAUAGGGCACAGAAGGAAGGUGUUGUUUCAAACCCGUCCAUUUCCUUGUUAUAAACGUCAAGGCGCGCCGUACUCAAUCGUGAGCGUUGGCGCAGCGCGGCUUGCCUUGGUCAUCGGCGUGUGGAAUAGGGAGACUAGUUACUUUCUCCGCAGCCUCUACUUUUCCGGUCAUACCUGAUUAGUACACACUUUUCUGUUGCAUAAGUGUAAUUUCUUCAGGUAACAGUUCAGAUCUUUCCUUUUUCCUAUCAUAGCUGCUCGUUUUUGUCGGGGAAAAAAAUAGGUCUUCUAAAUACUUUUUUUUUUUUUUUCUAAC